ensembl:lncRNA
CUUUGGGGAACACCUGGGGCUAAAUGAAGCCAACUUGGCACUUACGUGGACACAAUGAGAAGACAGCGGUCUACAGGUGGGAGGAAGUUUCUCAUCAGAAUCUGGCCAUUCUGACACCCUGAUCUUGGACUUCCAGCCUCCAGAACUAUGUUGGCGCUUCUAGUAUCUACAUCAUUUCAUGUGGGGAAGGCUCAUGAUGAAGCAGAACCAUGCUUUUGUUUUGGAAGUAGACAUGAGACUGAAGCCACGUGCCGUCCUGGGCAGCUGUCUUCACGAGGUGGUGUGGAGCUCCCGGGUACUUCCAUCUUAGAGCAUUUCCAUCACGCACAUGUUUCCAUGACCGCCAAAGCAAGGAAGAAAAAUUGGAAGAUUUCACACUGGCAAUUAAAUGCUUUGAUCCAGAAGAUAUAUGCAUCCAUUCUGCUUACAACCAAUUGGCCAGAACUAAUUGCAUGACCCCACCUUGCAGCAGGAGGUGUGUGUGAAGAAAUGUGAUCCUCUCGGGUACCCAGAAGAGGAAGAGUCUCCCAAAUCAUUGAGCACGGAGAGUCCCUGCCGUGGAAUUAUCUCUAGCAUAAGAUUAUUUGCUUUUGUGGGAACUGGUGCAAUUUAAUUCAAGGUCAGUCUUACUGUAUUUAUGCAGAAUGAGUCCUCAACCCUGACCUGGCAAGGAGAAGAAAAAGCAGCUGAUCUCAGAUGCACAAAUGUCUCUGGGUAUGUCUAAAGCUGAGGUUCCCACCAGUGUACCGAUGCCAGUUCCCUCUCUGGGUCUGAGUUACUGCCCUGAUGCUCAGCGCUGUGAACGGUGCAGUUAAGCGAAAGGGUCGGGUUGACCACAGUGCAGCAUUGCAUCAGUGCCCCGUCAUCACCCUGAUAUACAGCUUGUCCCGAGGGCCAUCAUUCCUGGAGGAGAAUGCAUCAGGUCAAGCUCUGGCAUUUAAUACCACAUCCAUCACAGUGCAGAGAACACUAAGGAGGUCUGAGCCCUGGUAAGCUAGAGGCUGGGAAAGGGCUCAGCGGCUCCUGGAGAAUCAUCACAUCUCCCGAAGGACCUGCAAAAAGUUUCGCUUCUUGGUUUUCAUUCGUUUUUCCUUCUGACCAUAGUGAACUCCCCGUGACUAAAGGAGCUGGAGCAGUAGUGAGGAGGCAACAUACAAUAUUCAACGGAGACGAGCAGGCACGUCACCGCCUCCUGGAACUUAGACACAGUGGCUAACGCCUCGGCACCACUCUCGGGUCCAGUUUAAAGUCACCCGCUCAACAGCCAGAGUCGGCCUGCAGAAAUGAAGAUCACCUACUCUCAAGGCUCCAGUGACUUUCUAUUCCUCUUAAGAUGAAGUCCCUUCACCUUCCCAUGACCUGCAGGCCUGUGUGAUGGGUUCCUGCCCGCUCCAUCCCCCCUCCUAUCACUUCCUACCUGCUUUCUCUGCUCCAGC